CAACCGGAUGUAGCAAUAUUAGCUUUACUGGCUAAGAGAAAAACGUCUUGGAGUUUGUGUAAAACAAGGAUUUAAUAAUAAAUUUAUUACCAGUCAUUGGGAAUAUAUUACCUCUGGAUAUCUGUUUUGGAUGGUUGCGAUCAUUUCUAGAUGAAAUUUGCGUCACAGAAUGUAAUUAGCCUUUAUUAGCAACAUGAUUAGACUUUCACCUGAAGAAGAGAAUCAGUGUUUUCGAGGUUGAAGCAUGUAAUAGUUCACAGCUCAGUUAUUUAAGACAAGUCUACAUGCUGAGUUUGUGAGACUGUGCGGGGAGGACCACAUCGUCUGUGGACACCACCUCUAACGCUGUUGUCCAGCUGAGGAUCGAGAGACUGGGGACACCGAGGACUACCAGUCAAGACAUCAGACUCUGCUCUGGAGGAUCGCUUCAGCUCUGCGACAGGCUGGUUUAUGUUUGACUCCAGUUUCAGACAGCGGAAAUACAGAAGAUACGGCUUAUAUGACUGAACAUGUGAAGGUUGAAGACAAGGAUUGCGAAAAGGAGAAUCCCAGGUGAAGCGAGGAUUUGUGAGAUGAUGAAGGUUGAAGCAGAUGGACCUGGGUCCAGUUUAGAGACCCCCAGACCUGCAGCAUCCACAUCAGACCUGGAGGAAACACAGGACGGCAAAAAUCUCAACUAUCACAAGUUGGUGAUUAAAGAAGAGGCCCUCCCAGACUGGAGCUCCAGUUUAGACCAGCAGGACCCAGAACACCCCCACAUAAAGGAGGAAGAUGAGGAACUGAGGAUUAGUCAGGAGGAAGAGCAGCCUUCUGUGAAGAGUGAGGAUGAAGAGAAACCUCCGUUAUCAAAGUCUAAGGAAAUCAAAACUGAAGACAACAGAGACACCGGAGCUUCAACCAGCGGCUCAACUGAACAGAUAGAAAUAGAACUAGACGGAGAGGACUGCAUGGAACCAAAACCACACAGAAACCUGGAUCCAGCCUGUUCUCAAAAGAACAAGACAACGAUUCACAAUAAAGGUAAAAGAUCUAAACUGCAUUCAAAAUUCACAGGACUGAUUGGAGUUCACGCUGGAGAGAAGCCAUUUGGGUGCAAUGUCUGUGGUGAAAGAUUCAAAAAGAAGUCUCAUGUUAAAGUGCACAUUAUGACACACACAGGAAAUGAAGAACAUGGCUGCGGUCUUUGUGGGAAAGUAUUUAAAAAAAAGAGUUACCUUCAGAUACAUAUGAGACUUCACACUGGUGAGAGACCAUUUGCCUGUGAUGAUUGUGGUAGAACAUUUCAUAGAAAGACCAUUCUUAAGAACCACCUGGCAGUCCAUUCAGGAGAAAAACCAUUUUCCUGUGAUGUCUGUGGUACAAGAUUUAAAAGAGAGAAAUCUCUCAAAAACCACAUGUGGUUGAUUCACACUGCAAAGAAGCCAUUUUCUUGUACUGUUUGCAGUAAACGAUUUUCACAAGAAGAACAUCUGAAGAGUCACAUGGGUGUUCACACAGGAGAGAAACAGUUUGUGUGUGGCUUUUGUAGUAAGGGAUUUUCACUGAAAUCAAAUCUUAAGACACACAUGCGUGUUCACACCGGAGAGAAACCUUUUACCUGCAAUAUUUGUAGUAAGGAGUUCUCUAGACAAGAUCAUCUAAAGAGCCACAUUCGUGUUCAUACGGGAGAAAAACAAUUUAUUUGUGGGGUUUGUAAUAAAGAGUUUGCACUAAAACAGAAUCUAAAGACACACAUGCGUGUUCACUCAGGUGAGAAACCGUUCACUUGCAGCAUUUGUAGUAAAGGAUUUUCUCAACAAAAUCGUCUCAAAAGUCACAUGAGUGUUCACACAGGAGAGAAACCUUUUGUCUGUAGCAUCUGUAAUAAAGAAUUUUCACAGCAGCGCAAUCUAAAAAUUCAUAUGCAUAUACAUACAGGGGAGCAGCCAUUUCUUUGCAGCAUUUGUGGUAAAGGAUUUUCACUGCAAAGGAAUCUUAAGAUUCACAUUCGCAUUCACACUGGGGAGAAACCAUUUGUUUGUAGUUUUUGUAGUAAAGGCUUUUCACGGCAAGAUUAUUUAAAAAGUCACAUGCGUGUUCAUACGGGAGAGAAACCAUUUGUUUGUGGUGUUUGUAAUAAAGGAUUUACGCAACAACAAAAUCUGAAAAGACACAUGGAGGCUCACACUCCAUGAUUCAGGUGUAGUGAAUGUUUAGGUGGGGUAAAUAAAGAUAAAUCUACAUGUGCAACUCCUUUCAGGGGAGCAAUAAUUGUAAUAUGUGUAAACUCAGAUGAAAUCAAUAAACAUAUCUUGAAUUUCACAUGAUAUGUAGUCUCUACUACGGUGCAUUUCACAAACUGGAAAUCUAAAAAGAUCUAUCUAUCUAUCUAUCUAUCUAUCUAUCUAUCUAUCUAUCUAUCUAUCUAUCUAUCUAUCUAUCUAUCUAUCUAUCUAUCUAUCUAUCUAUCUAUCUAUCUAUCUGGAGACGUUUCAGUUAAAGUGAAACAGGAGCCUUUGGUACUGAUAAAUUAUGUGUUCAACUACAACAAUCUUCCAAUUAAUCAAAUGCUUAAUCACAAAUAAGAAAGCACUUUUGGUUCUGAUCUUUGUAAAUAACACUUUAAGAAAAACGCCCAUACCUUUUUAAGGACUCCAUCACUUUUUAACAAUCGUUUCCCAGUCCAUGAACCACACUGACCAGCAGGUUUGAAAUAUUUUCCAUCUUUAACAAACCUGGGGUUACAUUAAAAUGACCAUGAAGUCAUCAGCAAACUUCUUCAAAAGUUUGUCAUAAAUAGUGGGAGGGCACUGAUUGAUUUUUAUUUUAUUUGAACAGUUUCUAAAGUUUAUUCAAUCCUAAGUGUAAAUAUUAAGAGGAUUCUUUUUUAUUUAUUUUUUUCUACCUACUCCUGGAAUCACUGAGCUCCUAACAACAGAAUCACAAGGUGGCAACAAUGCGUCAACUGUCAGUAAUUACAGCUCCUCACUGAUGUACAUAUAAACUUCUAUUUUCCGAUACGGGGUGUAGUUUAGAUGCACAUGUAAAUGUAAAGGCGCUAGAAUCACGCGAGCUCUGAAACAAAUAGUUUCACUUUGUCCUGAACAUCAUGUCUUUCUGACUCCUGCAAAGUAAAUGUUUGUUAGCAGUUACUGAUGUCAUCAUCUUGGCAGAACUUGAUCACUACAGUUUGUCCUUCCCAUUUUCCUGUUUAUAGAAAAAACAUGUUUUCAUGUUACCUUGUACAAAAUUAUGUGCUUUACUGAAAAGAUUUAUUUAAAGAAAAACUGUUACGCCUGGGUAUAAAUAAUAUUUAAAAUGUGUGCACAUUCAGCAUUGUAUUCUUUUUUAUAAUAAAUGUAAUUUAAUUUCAUGUUUAUUCAGUAAAUGCCCUGAGGUUAGUCUUUUUAAUCAGGGCCACGAAAACAAAGUGAAAUUACAUUAAAACAUUUUAUAAAUAAGACUCUGUUUCACUACUUUCCCAUUUGUGCGCUUUGUUCUGAAAGGUUGAAAGAGGAAGUGGAUAUAGAAGUAGCUACGGUUGCAUUAGACAUUAGAAAUCUCUCAGAUUCUCCAUUUAAUUAUUGUUUGUUCUUUCUAUCGGUAGUUUGCUGCACAGAAUGUCAUUAAUUUUUAUAAACAACAUAAAUAGACUUUUCGCUAAACUAGAGACUGAAUCAAUGUUUUCGAUAUUGAAGUUUUUAAAAGUUCAGGCUGUAGUGCUUUACGAGUCAACCCUGAGUUUAUGACACUGUGGGAAACCUACCUCUUGAUGUUGCUUCAAAAAUACCUUGUUUUAGAUCAAUUCAUUUUUAUCACAGUACACUUUAAUAUGUAUUUUUCAGAUUUAUUUAAAGUGAAAUAAUGGAGUCUCAGUUCCACAUAAAAAAUUAAGUAUAAAUUAUUUAGGACUGCCUCUUUUAAAUCAGAUUAUUUUUUAAAUAUCUACACAAUGGUAUAAUUAAAAAGAAUGAAGGAAAAUUCGCCAGUUGUGUGAACGUAGCCUUUUACAAGCUUUACACACAGAAUAUGUUUAUUUUGUGUAACGUUACCACACACGGUUAAUGAAUGUCACCAACCUAAGAACCAGGAAUUUUCUUAGUAUUACUUUCUGUGUCGAAUAUUAUACCACGAAAAUGCAGAAUGUUCAUGUAAAUAGAAGAACAUCAUUUUGUUAAUUAAUUCUCAUCCCAUUGAACACCUCAGUAAGGGCUUUUUAUUGAACCUGAGAAGAGGUUGUUUUCCUUUUCUUUUGAAUCCAUUGUUAUACUUUUGUUUUGAAAGUCUCCAUCCCAAGCAGCGUGGGCAUAACCACUGCGCAUGCGCGCCCCGUGGAGACUCCUGCGGUCUGCAGGUAGUCGCUUUUGAACGAGUCGUUUUGUCCUUUAAGAUCAUCAGAUUGCGGGCCGUACGUGCUGCUUCCAGGUGAGUGGGUUUGGGUCAGAGCUCCAGCAGGAUUCAGAUGCUGCCUCAGUUUGAUGAUUCAUAGCUGAAACCUUGAUCUACUAGGACAUGUGAAGGUUGUAAACAAGGAUCGCGAAGUCUAAGACGAGUGAGGAUGUCUGAAAUGAUGAAGGUUGAAGCAGAUGAACCUGGAGUGUUCAGCUCGGAGCCCCUCAUACCUGCAGCAUCCGCAUCAGAACUGGAGCAGAAACAAGACAACAAAGAUCUCAUCCAUCAGAUGUUUGUGAUUAAAGUGGUUCCCCAUGACUGGAGCCUGAGUUUGAACCAGCAGGAUCCAGAUGACUCUCGCAUAAAGGAGGAGGAAGAGGAACUGUGGAUCAGUCACGAGGAAGAGCAGCUUACUGUCAAGAUUGAAGAUGAAGAGAAACCCGAACUUUAUGAGAUCAAAGCAGACGACA